rnacentral:rRNA from 1 species
UACGUAGGGGGCAAGCGUUGUCCGGAAUCAUUGGGCGUAAAGAGCGUGUAGGCGGCCCGAUAAGUCCGCUGUGAAAGUCCAGGGCUCAACCCUGGAAUGCCGGUGGAUACUGUCGGGCUCGAAUCCGGAAGAGGUGAGUGGGAAUUCCUGGUGUAGCGGUGAAAUGCGCAGAUAUCAGGAGGAACACCAAUGGCGAAGGCAGCUCACUGGGACGGUAUUGACGCUGAGACGCGAAAGCGUGGGGAGCAAACAGG